rnacentral:siRNA from 1 species
AUAGAGUGUUCAUGUAGUUGCAUU